CUUUAACAUCAGCAUUCCGGCAGUAUGAUACAGACCAAGAUGGAGUUAUAACAAUACAUUAUGAGCAAUUUCUAAAAAUGGUGUUUGGCUUGAAGUGUUGGCCGUAAAACAUCGGGGUUGUCAAGCUCAAUAAUCACCAGUGAGGUUUGAGUUAUAAUAUUUAUUUUGGAAAAAAUAAAUGAUGUUAGAUAUUUAUCUUGGCAACAUCUUCAAUUUGUAUACUUAUCUGAAACUUAAUUCACUUUUUGAAUUACCGUAAAUGUGCAUGCAUCUUGUAACAGAAAAUUGUAUCUUCAAAAAUAAAACAGAAAUAUUAAUCGAUUUUCUAUGAGUGUAGACACAGUAUCAUCUUACACCUAUAUAUUAAGUGCAUGCUCUUUUAUUAUAUCCAUUCCAUCCAAUAUUCCAAUUUCUAAUAAUCAUUAGUUCCAACCAACCCACCCUACUUCAAGUGCCUGUAACCAGUUGAAGAUGCAAUUUUAUUUAAAAUUUAUUCUUGAACUGUCUUUGUAGCUUUACAGUUAAUUUAGUGAUUAAGCAAAACUAAUCUCAAAUUCUUAAUUUAAAUUGUAAAUCAUAGGCUUAGUAUCUUGGUGAACCAAGUGAAUUUCCCUAAAUUUAUAAAUUGGCCAAAUACAAUUGUUGUGCUCAAAGUACCUUGUGAGUUCAAGUUUUAAAUUAUAUUUUGCAUUUAAUAUUGUAUGUUAUUGUAAAGUAGUAAACAUUGCCUCGUUUCAUUAUCUGUGUCUUUCAGCAUAAAU